GUGAUUUGCAAUUUGGAGAUCGUUUGGGUGUUACAGCACUCUGCAGUCUCUGAGAGGAGGCAGAGGCAGCACGCGCGAACCUAGACAGAGAUUGAAUUAUUGAGGCAAUGCAGAAGGGACAUUCAUCUUUCCACGAGGUCUUCCGCAAACUGUGAGGCAAAAUGAAGGUUGUUCUGCUUCUUCUGUUUGCCAUUUGCCUCGGCAUAAGUACAGUUGCUGGCUUAGAAUGCUACUACUGUAAGGAUGCAUCAAGCAAUGAAGACUGCAAUAGAAAUCCAGUUCAAACUUGCAGUAGUAAUGAAGACAGAUGCUCCAUAUCUAAAGUCACAAUAAAUUUAUUUGGGACACAGACAACUGUCUUGACGAAAGGCUGCACUGAAAAUUCACGGUGCACGGGAAACACCGAUGUCUUAUUCGUCAAUACUGGAGUUAAAUGCUGUGAUUCAAAUUUAUGUAAUGUGAAUGGUUCAAUUAAUUUCUCUGCAAGAAAACUGCUGCUUAUGGCCUCUGCAAGUUUUCUUUACUUCAUCUAUAAGCUUACAAAUUAAGUUGAAUAAUGCAUCAUCUGCUUGAGGAGACCUGGUGAUAUAUAUUAUUAAUUUUACUUAAAUGGAAGCUGUAAUUGGGGCCAAUAUAGGCAAUAAUAUUCAUAAGUUUUGAUUUCUCUAUCACCAAAAUUAAUUUUUAAUAUUCUAGCUUUAUAGUCAUGUUGUUACUUAUAAACUGUAAUGAACUCACUUUGGGCAGAAUGUUACCACAGGUUCCAAGAUACCACCUAUCACAAAGGAAAAACAUCACAAUUAUUUCAUCAAAUUAAAGAAACCCAGGUGCAAAGUGAACACUCGCAGUACUUAUUAAAAGAUAUAUUUUAUAACAGUCAAAACCAUGAUCAGUAUAAAGCAACUUAAGACUAUUGGUCAGGACUUAAGUUUAAAAUAUAUUAAGAAAUCUUAAAGACUUAUUUUAAGCACAUGGACAAUUUUGUUAUGAAGUUACCAGGUAUAUCCUUGAUAUUAUUAUGAUAUUGUAUUCAAUGCCAAGAAAAUAUUUUAAAAAUAACUCACUCUAAUCUGCAAUAUUACCAGUACAUGUUCAAUAUUCUAUCUAUUAAUUUGUGAUUCAAUGUUUUAAGAGAACACAUUUUCAUAUCUAAGUGGAGUGUGCUUGAUGUAAUCAAUGAAAUGAAUGGAUUAGGAAGGCACUGAUCAUUGCAACAUGGAAGCUGGUGGCUAAUGAAGAUGAUGUGAUGAACAUGUACCUAUCUGUUAAGAACUUCAUUUCCCUGCUGCUCUCUACCUUAAAGAUGUUCCUUUAGCCUUACCAUUUUGACCCUUAUUUCAAUUAUUUGUCCUAAUAACACUCGAUGUAAAUCAAUAUAAAUUUUUUUUUAAU